UACGUAGGGUGCGAGCGUUAAUCGGAAUUACUGGGCGUAAAGCGUGCGCAGGCGGUUUUGUAAGUCAGAUGUGAAAUCCCCGGGCUUAACCUGGGAACUGCGUCCGAGACUGAAGGGCUCGAAUCCGGGAGAGGGAUGUGGAAUUCCAGGUGUAGCGGUGAAAUGCGUAGAUAUCUGGAGGAACAUCGGUGGCGAAGGCGGCAUCCUGGACCGGUAUUGACGCUGAGGCGCGAAAGCCAGGGGAGCAAACGGG
rnacentral:rRNA from 1 species